UACGUAGGGUGCGAGCGUUGUCCGGAAUUAUUGGGCGUAAAGAGCUCGUAGGCGGUCUGUCGCGUCGAUCGUGAAAACUUGGGGCUUAACCCUGAGCUUGCGGUCGAUACGGGCAUGACUGGAGUUCGGCAGGGGAGACUGGAAUUCCUGGUGUAGCGGUGAAAUGCGCAGAUAUCAGGAGGAACACCGGUGGCGAAGGCGGGUCUCUGGGCCGAUACUGACGCUGAGGAGCGAAGGCCAGGGGAGCAAACGGG
rnacentral:rRNA from 1 species